GACGAACGCUGGCGGCGUGCUUAACACAUGCAAGUCGAACGGAAAGGCCCUGCUUGCGGGGUUCUCGCGUGGCGAACGGGUGGGUAACUCGUGGGUGAUCUGCCCUGCACUUCGGGAUAGGCUUGGUCAACUGGGUCUAGUACCGGAUAGAAGCCAUCUGGAGUGUGGUGGUUGGAAAGUUUUUUCUGUGUAGGAUGAGCUCGCGGCCUAUCAGCUUGUUGGUGGGGUAAUGUCCUACCAAGGCGGCGACGGGUAGCCGGCCUGAGAGGGUGUACGGCGACAUUGGGACUGAGAUACGGCCCAGACUCCUACGGGAGGCAGAAGUGGGGAAGAUUGCACAAUGGGCGCAAGCCUGAUGCAGCGACGCCGCGUGGGGGAUGAAGGCCUUAGGGUUGUAAACGCAUUUCGCUAGGGACGAAGCUUUUUGUGACGGUACCUAGAGAAGAAGCACCGGCUAACUACGUG
rnacentral:rRNA from 1 species